GCGCCCGUAAUUCAAUUGGAUAGAAUGUUGGAUUCCGGUUCCAAAGGUUGUAGGUUCUGGCAUAGCCAUCCCUAUGGGAAAAUCCUGCCGGGCGUACCA
rnacentral:tRNA from 1 species